AGAAUCAACGCUGGCGGCGUGCCUAACACAUGCAAGUCGAACGCGAAAAUCCCGCAAGGGAUCUGUAGCGUGGCAAACGGGUGAGUAACGCGUGGGCGACCGUACCUCACGAGUGGGGGGAUAACCGUUCCGAAAGGAGGGCUAAUACCGCAUGACAUCCCAUUUUUGGAUAGAUGGACAUCAAAGCCGGGGAUCGCAAGACCUGGCGCUUGGAGAGGGGCCCGCGUCCGAUUAGCUAGUUGGCGAGGUAAUGGCUCACCAAGGCUCCGAUCGGUA
rnacentral:rRNA from 1 species